UGAUGUCUUUUUUAUACUUUUCUGGACCUUGACAGUGUUUUUUACUUGUUUUUAUCCAAAAUAUCUUAAAUUGUGUUCUGAAGACGAACUAAGCUUUUACGGGUUUGGAACGACAUGGGCGUAAGUGAUUAAUGACAAAAUUUUAAUUUUGGGGUGGAGUAUCCCUUAAAUGUGUGUAUCUAUGAAUCUACUAAAGUUAACUUAGCCUGGAAAUUAGUCAUAGCAUGACAAAUGAGUAGGGCAAUUUUAAUUAAAAUACAUAUACAGUAUAUACAUGAAAUGGACAUAGGCCUAGAUGGUAUACAAAUGAAUAACUAACAUAAGUCAGUUUGAAAAUGUGUUUUAAGCUUAUUUUCUUUCUCACAGUGCCGUAGUUGAGUCAUACACUAUGUUAAGGUAAACCCAAAAUGCCAUUGAACAUUCAAUGUGAAACAACUAUAUAAUGAUAAUGUUUUCAUGUUCGUGUUUUGAUACGUUUGUGUUUUGAAUCGUUUACUUGCAGUUCGUUUACAAACAGCACGUGCAGCUUGAACCCGAUGAAGAGCUUCUUCAUCGCUGGCAAACGAUAAGUUGCAGCUUCGACUCAGUGGAUCACAGUUUGCAGUCAGAUUUGUCCCAGCGCUCGAGAAUCACAGCUUUAUUAGGUCUACUUUUACAGUCUUCCCAGCUAACAAAUCCCCGAGAAGCAGACAUUGAGCUGAAGCAUGAGAGAGCAGGUGAAAUAUGACACAGGCGUUUCUUUGUGAGAUUCAGCCCUACAUAUACCUACAUCCUCAUUGUCAUCAAAAGGGGGAGAGUGACAAUGGAUCGGAGCAGACGCUUUGCCCGCAACACUCACCCGUGAGUCGAGAGCUCAUUUUGACAUUGUACAGAGACUGUAAAACUAGGAUCAGGGAACUCCGGGUUGUUCAAGCUGGCGCCGCUUGGCUUUGCUGCUCCUUCUGAAUGUACAAACACGCUUUUGAAGCGCCGUGACUGAUUACAGCUCGCGGAUUAUUAGAAAUGUUCAGUUUUAUUCCUUAAAGCUGUUAAAAGUGGAGAUAAUGGAUAUUUGGCACCAAAGACGUAAUUCCUCAGACCAGUUGAGAUCAGUCAUUUAUGAGGGAGGGAAUGAAUGAUUGAGUUUAUUUUAAUGGUAAUUUGAUAAUCAAAUUUAUUUUAAAUCGUAUCAUUGAUUUGCUGAGCUUUUCACAGUAUAUAGUGUUUCAAAACAGCUUUACUGAAAAUAAUCCAUUAAAUCUUAAAGAUCUUUUUGUUUAAUAAUUUUUCAAAUGUAAAUAAUUUUUUUAAACAUCAUUUUUUACGUUUAUUUAUUUUUAUAUCUUUUAUUUACAGAGAAAUCACCCUUUUUAACUUCAUAUUUUUAUGUAUGUAAAGUGCUUUGAGAUGCUACUUUUAAAGGUGG
ensembl:lncRNA